rnacentral:rRNA from 1 species
UACGUAGGUGGCAAGCGUUGUCCGGAUUUAUUGGGCUUAAAGGGCGCGUAGGCGGCCUUAUAAGUCAGUGCUGAAAUAUCCCGGCUUAACCGGGAGGGUGGCAUUGAUACUGUAGGGCUUGAGUGUAGUCGAGGUAGGCGGAAUUGACGGUGUAGCGGUGAAAUGCUUAGAUAUCGUCAAGAACACCGAUAGUGUAGACAGCUUACUAGGCUACAACUGACGCUGAGGCACGAAAGUGUGGGGAUCAAACAGG